rnacentral:rRNA from 1 species
CGUAGGACCCAAGCGUUAUCCGGAGUGACUGGGCGUAAAGAGUUGCGUAGGCGGACAAGUAAGCGAAUAGUAAAAUCUGGUGGCUCAACCAUCAACCUAUUGUUCGAACUGCUUGUCUCGAGAAUGGUAGAGGUAGCUGGAAUUUCUUGUGUAGGAGUGAAAUCCGUAGAUAUAAGAAGGAACACCAAUGGCGUAGGCAGGCUACUGGACCAUUUCUGACGCUGAGGCACGAAAGCGUGGGGGAGCGAACCGGAUU